rnacentral:tRNA from 1 species
GGGGCCGUGGGGUAGCUUGGUCGAUCCUUCGGGCUUUGGGAGCCUGGUACCCGAAUUCAAAUUUCGGCGGCCCCACCA